GGUUAAGCGAACAAGAGCGCAGGGUGGAUGCCUUGGCACUAAGAGCCGAUGAAAGACGUGAUAAGCUGCGAUAAGCUUCGGGGAGGAGCAAAUAUCCAUCGAUCCGGAGAUAUCUGAAUGGGGAAACCUGGCUGAGAAAACCUCAGUCGUCGUAACGUGAAUCCAUAGCGUUACGUCGGGAACCGCCUGAACUGAAACAUCUAAGUAGGGCGAGGAAGAGAAAUCAACAGAGAUUCCGCUAGUAGUGGCGAGCGAACGCGGAAGAGGCCAAACCGGAGGAUUUAUUCUCCGGGGUUGCGGACCGGCAUAAGGGACAAUAGCUUAGGAGAACGGCAUGGGAAGGCCGGCCAUAGGGGGUGAGAGCCCCGUAUCCGAAAAGUGACGAUACCUGCUGAGUUCCAGAGUACCGCGGGACACGUGA
rnacentral:rRNA from 1 species